CGGGGAGGCCGGGCAAGGCUGGCAGAAGAGAACCUCCUCUUCUGCAACUUCUGGAAUGGAAACUGUUCUUCUCAGAGCCUCCUCCAUGGCCCCUGAAGGGUAGCCAAAUAGCUGUAAGUGGUGGAGAAACUUGUUAUUUAUAGAAGAAUUCCAGCGAGGGUGGAAAGAAUAUGGAAUCCGAAAAAUCACAAUUUUGCAACCCUUAACGAAAUAAUUGAUCAAAACAAAUAUCUACAAUGAAUGAAACCAAGGAUGAUGGUUGAUGGAGAACUUUACAAUGGAGGAAUCAAGCUGUCAUCACCUGACACCCUGAUGAAUCUUAGCAUCACUAAAAGGGGCACAGCCACACACCAUGUACUUCCUGUUGUGAUGCAGUCUGAAGGACUCAGCUCCACCUAUGAAGGAGUCUUGCCAAACAAAAACAUUGAGCACGAUUCUAAUCAAAAGUCUAGACCUAACCUCCAUUUAAUAGGAAAUACUUGGGAUGGAAGAACAGAUUAAAUGACGUAACAAGGAAGUAAGAAGGCACAUCCAGAAUGUGGGACAUUCUAAAGGAAAUCUGACCCAAUUUCUUCAACUAGUCCAUGGCAGCGGGGAAAAGAUGAGAAGGCACAUGAAAAGACAACUACCACAUGGAACAUAAGGAUCUUGUUUGGUUCUUGAUUUGGACAACCCAAUUGUAAAAAGACAUUUUCAAACAAUUAGGGACAGUUAAUUAUGGACUGAGUGUUUACGAUGCCAAGGAAUCAGUGUUGACUUUGUUAGAUGUAAAAAUGACUGUGGGGUUAAGUAAGAAAAGGUCCUUAUUUUCUAAAAAUGCAUACUAAAGUGAAGAGACAUAUUUAAUUUUAAAUAUUUUGGCAAAUAAAAAAAAAGACAGAAAGGAGUAGAAGGAACAA